rnacentral:tRNA from 1 species
GGGCCUAUAGCUUAAUGGAUAGAGUACAGGGCUCCGGACCCUGAUGUGAGGGUUCGAUUCCCUCUAGGCCCG